UAGGGAAUCUUCGGCAAUGGACGGAAGUCUGACCGAGCAACGCCGCGUGAGUGAAGAAGGUUUUCGGAUCGUAAAGUUCUGUUGUUAGAGAAGAACGUUGGUAGGAGUGGAAAAUCUACCAAGUGACGGUAACUAACCAGAAAGGGACGGCUAACUACGUGCCAGCAGCCGCGGUAAUACGUAGGUCCCGAGCGUUGUCCGGAUUUAUUGGGCGUAAAGCGAGCGCAGGCGGUUCUUUAAGUCUGAAGUUAAAGGCAGUGGCUUAACCAUUGUACGCUUUGGAAACUGUAGGACUUGAGUGCAGAAGGGGAGAGUGGAAUUCCAUGUGUAGCGGUGAAAUGCGUAGAUAUAUGGAGGAACACCGGUGGCGAAAGCGGCUCUCUGGUCUGUAACUGACGCUGAGGCUCGAAAGCGUGGGGAGCAAACAGG
rnacentral:rRNA from 1 species